GACGAACGCUGGCGGCGUGCUUAACACAUGCAAGUCGAACGGUGAAAGCGGAGCUUGCUCCGCUGGAUCAGUGGCGAACGGGUGAGUAACACGUGGGCAACCUGCCCCUCACUUCGGGAUAACUCCGGGAAACCGGGGCUAAUACCGGAUAUGACCUCCUUGGGCAUCCUUGGAGGUGGAAAGUUUUUCGGUGAGGGAUGGGCCCGCGGCCUAUCAGCUUGUUGGUGAGGUAGUGGCUCACCAAGGCGACGACGGGUAGCCGGCCUGAGAGGGCGACCGGCCACACUGGGACUGAGACACGGCCCAGACUCCUACGGGAGGCAGCAGUGGGGAAUAUUGCGCAAUGGGCGAAAGCCUGACGCAGCAACGCCGCGUGCGGGAUGACGGCCUUCGGGUUGUAAACCGCUUUCUGCAGGGAAGAAGCCGCAAGGUGACGGUACCUGCAGAAGAAGCACCAGCUAACUACGUGCCAGCCGCCGCGGUAA
rnacentral:rRNA from 1 species